GCAAUAGUGGCUCACGUGGGCGGUCGGCAUCACCUCGGAAAGGAGGUGAUGCCAAUGGAGACGUUUCAGGCUCUUCAAUUGAUGUUCCUAUUUGGAAUGUUUAUUCUAGCGCUUUUAACGUUUAUAAAAAAAUAGACCGCCCACCGUGCAAAGGUUAAGUGCGAUCUAUUUCGUAAAAACCCUAUAAGCCGACCGCCUAGUAGCGCGGCUAUUGCUGACCGUGGACGUUACAGCGUCUGCG
rnacentral:sRNA from 1 species